UAGUAAAAAUUUCAUCAAUUUCUACUGUUAAAAACUAGUGUUGGUGACAGAAUAAUCAGAUAAUGAUAUGUGAUGUGCUAUGCGUACCUCAUUUUGACAUAUAUUGACCAAAUUUUAAUUAUUAAAAUAGAUGAAAUUUUCAAUA
rfam:Gossypium hirsutum cultivar TM-1 chromosome 20, whole genome shotgun sequence